rnacentral:rRNA from 1 species
UACGGAGGGCGCAAGCGUUGUUCGGAAUUACUGGGCGUAAAGCGCGUGUAGGCGGCCAGGUAAGUCGGAUGUGAAAGCCCGGGGCCCAACCCCGGAACUGCACCCGAUACUGCCCGGCUGGAGUCCCGGAGAGGAUGGCGGAAUUUCCGGUGUAGAGGUGAAAUUCGUAGAUAUCGGCAGGAACACCAGUGGCGAAGGCGGCCUUCUGGACGGUGACUGACGCUGAGACGCGAAAGCGUGGGGAGCUAACAGG